GCGGCGUGCCUAAUACAUGCAAGUCGAGCGGACAGAAGGGAGCUUGCUCCCGGAUGUUAGCGGCGGACGGGUGAGUAACACGUGGGUAACCUGCCUGUAAGACUGGGAUAACUCCGGGAAACCGGAGCUAAUACCGGAUAGUUCCUUGAACCGCAUGGUUCAAGGAUGAAAGACGGUUUCGGCUGUCACUUACAGAUGGACCCGCGGCGCAUUAGCUAGUUGGUGGGGUAAUGGCUCACCAAGGCGACGAUGCGUAGCCGACCUGAGAGGGUGAUCGGCCACACUGGGACUGAGACACGGCCCAGACUCCUACGGGAGGCAGCAGUAGGGAAUCUUCCGCAAUGGACGAAAGUCUGACGGAGCAACGCCGCGUGAGUGAUGAAGGUUUUCGGAUCGUAAAGCUCUGUUGUUAGGGAAGAACAAGUGCGAGAGUAACUGCUCGCACCUUGACGGUACCUAACCAGAAAGCCACGGCUAACUACGUGCCAGCAGCCGCGGUAAUACGUAGGUGGCAAGCGUUGUCCGGAAUUAUUGGGCGUAAAGGGCUCGCAGGCGGUUUCUUAAGUCUGAUGUGAAAGCCCCCGGCUCAACCGGGGAGGGUCAUUGGAAACUGGGAAACUUGAGUGCAGAAGAGGAGAGUGGAAUUUCCACGUGUAGCGGUGAAAUGCGUAGAGAUGUGGAGGAACACCAGUGGCGAAGGCGACUCUCUGGUCUGUAACUGACGCUGAGGAGCGAAAGCGUGGGGAGCGAACAGGAUUAGAUACCCUGGUAGUCCACGCCGUAAACGAUGAGUGCUAAGUGUUAGGGGGUUUCCGCCCCUUAGUGCUGCAGCUAACGCAUUAAGCACUCCGCCUGGGGAGUACGGUCGCAAGACUGAAACUCAAAGGAAUUGACGGGGGCCCGCACAAGCGGUGGAGCAUGUGGUUUAAUUCGAAGCAACGCGAAGAACCUUACCAGGUCUUGACAUCCUCUGACAACCCUAGAGAUAGGGCUUUCCCUUCGGGGACAGAGUGACAGGUGGUGCAUGGUUGUCGUCAGCUCGUGUCGUGAGAUGUUGGGUUAAGUCCCGCAACGAGCGCAACCCUUGAUCUUAGUUGCCAGCAUUCAGUUGGGCACUCUAAGGUGACUGCCGGUGACAAACCGGAGGAAGGUGGGGAUGACGUCAAAUCAUCAUGCCCCUUAUGACCUGGGCUACACACGUGCUACAAUGGACAGAACAAAGGGCUGCAAGACCGCAAGGUUUAGCCAAUCCCAUAAAUCUGUUCUCAGUUCGGAUCGCAGUCUGCAACUCGACUGCGUGAAGCUGGAAUCGCUAGUAAUCGCGGAUCAGCAUGCCGCGGUGAAUACGUUCCCGGGCCUUGUACACACCGCCCGUCACACCACGAGAGUUUGCAACACCCGAAGUCGGUGAGGUAACCUUUAUGGAGCCAGCCGCCGAAGGUGGGCA
rnacentral:rRNA from 1 species